UUUUUUUUUUGCUAUUUCUUUUGAGGGUUUUAAAUGAAUGAAGAUUGAAAACUGGAAAUAGAAAAAUAAACUAUAAUCUUCGCCAAAAUAAACAAUCAUAUCAUAUUUCUAAGUGAAAUCACUUCACACUCACACAACCAUAUCAUCUCCUCAAGUGUAACCUCAUCAUAUAGUCUAUCAAUCGUAUCACAUUCUCAAGUGGAUUCACCACACCAACUGUUAAACAACCAUAUCAUAUCCUCAAGUGCAACCUCAUCACACAGUCCAUAAAGUGUUUCACAUUCUCAAGCGGAACCACAUCACGCUAUCACACAACCAUAUCAUAUGCAUCCUCAAGUGCAAUCUCAUCCUAUAGUCCAUCAACUGUAUCAUAUUCUCAAGUGAAAUCACAUCACACUAUCGUCUCAACCAUGUCAUGCGCUCAAGUGCAACAUAAUCACAUAGUCCAUCAACCAAAUCAUAUCCUCAAGUGUAACCACAUCACAUUAUUAUAAGACCAUAUCAUAUCCUCAGGUGCAAACUCAUCACGCUGUUCAUCAAUCGUAUCACAUUCUCAAGUGGAUAUAUACCUCAUCACACUAUCACACAACCAUACCACAUCCUUAAGUACAACUCCAUCAUGUUGUCCAUCAACUGUAUCACAUUCUCAAGUGGACACAUCACACUCACACAAGAGAUAUGUGGUUUUUCACUGUGACAUUAUUUCAAAGGGAAACAACAAUAGCUCACCUUGAAAAGCUAGAAAGUUGAUUUUAGCUCAAUCUAUGGUUUGCAUAAAGUGGAUCUCAUCAUUGUGGAGUUUCUUUCGGUAGUGUUUAUUUACUGUGUGAAAUCAAUUGCAGGACUUAUCUACGUGCAAGGAAACAUUGUCAACCCUUAAAGUCAUGCAGGGGCAAGGAGGCUAUCCACAACUAGAACUGGACAUAGCUCACCUUGAAAAGGAAAUUGAGUUAUAUUCACUGGAGAAGCUGUGUUAUGAAGCUCAAAUGAUGGUAUGGUAAAUGAGAAGGCUCCAUCUCCUUUUCAAAUAGGAAAUUGCUUCACAUCUGGGCUUUCCUGAUGGUUCUGUAAGCCACCAUGGUUGUUAACAGAGUCCAUGGUUUGAUUUUUCAAGCACGUGAACCUG